GGAUACCGGAGACGCUGGAGACGCUGGAGACGCUGGAGACGCCACAGAUACCGUUGGUUCGAGGAGGCAAAUCCAUGGGAAUAUCUGCGACCUUUCGUUUCUCGAACGACAAUGAAUCGAGGGUUCGUCAUGUUGUCUCCUUGGGAUAGUACUGGUAGGCAUGGCGAGACGGGGAACUGGCCAGAAGAGGUCAUAUUUACCCGGAGAGGCAUUCCGCGGGUAUUUUUCAUAAUGCUAGUAUAGAACCAACUUGAGAGAUGGCACUUUUUGAGUAGAAUACUCGUACAUGUCGAUCUCAAACCUGGGUUGGUGGUGAGUUAGUCAGUCACUCGGAGUCAACUAACCACUGCGUACUAUUUAAAAACAAGAACAGGACCGAAAAGGCCGAAAAGAAGAGAAAAGCUGACGACAACCCGGCAGCCAUGACAGCAACGAACAUGGAAUCAUUGCAUUGGCUGAAGAGCUUUAGGGUCUAGAGCCCUGUCUGGGUCUGCCUGUCUGCCUGUCUUCUUUUUAUUCUCAUUACUGUUUUAUAAAUUAUCUGAUCCAGAUUUGGAAGUCGUGCUUCCUUUUCAUAUUUAGGCCAUACCAAACAUACUAUUUAUUCGACAGUCAAAGCUCCCAGGGUCACUCAGCCUCAAACAUAUUUCACAUAUUUUACUGAC
rnacentral:sRNA from 1 species